AUCUAUGGCCAUGCCACUCUGAACGAGCCCAAUCCCAUCAGAUCUCGGAAGCUAAGUAGGGUCGGGCCUAGUUAGUACUUGGGAGACCACCUAGGAAUACCAGGUGCUGCAGGCA
rnacentral:rRNA from 1 species